CCUACGGGUGGCAGCAGUGAGGAAUAUUCGUCAAUGAACGAGAGUCUGAACCAGCCAAAUAGCGUGAAGGAUGACUGCCCUCUGGGUUUUAAACUUCUUUUAUAUGGGAGUACAACUUUACACGUGUAGGAUUUUGUAUGUACCGUAUGAAUAAAGAUCGGCUAACUCCGUGCCAGCAGCCGCGGUAAUACGGAGGAUGCGAGCGUUAUCCGGAUUGAUUGGGUUUAAAGUGUGCGUAGGCGGACUGUUAAGUCAGCGGUAAAAGCCCGGGGCGCAACCCCGGCGAGCCGUUGAAACUGGCUGUCUAGAGAUGUAGAGAGGUAUGCGGAAUGCGAAGUGUAGCGGUGAAAUGCGUAGAUAUAGCGAAGAACUCCGAGUGCGAAGGCAGCAUACCGGCGGUGAUCUGACGCUGAGGCACGAAAGCGUGGGUAGCGAACAGGAUUAGAUACCCGAGUAGUC
rnacentral:rRNA from 1 species